rnacentral:rRNA from 1 species
AGUGAACGCUGGCGGUAGGCCUAACACAUGCAAGUCGAACGGCAGCACAGUAAGAGCUUGCUCUUACGGGUGGCGAGUGGCGGACGGGUGACGAAUAUAUCGUAAUCUACUUUUUCGUGGGGGUUCACGUAGGGGAACUUACGCUAAUAUCGCAUACCACCUACCGGUGAAAGCAGUGGAUCUUCGCAGCUUGCGCGGUUGGAUGAGCCGAUGUCGGAUUAGAUAGUUGGCGGGUUAAAGGCCCACCAAGUCGGCGAUCCGUAGCUGGUCUGAGAGGAUGAUCAGCCACACUGGAACUGAGACACGGUCCAGAGUCCUACGGGAGGCACCAGUGGGGAAUAUUGGGCAACGGGCGCAAGCAUGAUCCAGCCAGAGCGAGUGGGAGAAGACGGCCUUCGGGGUGUAAAGCCCUUUUGUGGGGAAAGAAAAGCAGCAGGUUAAUACGAAGCUGUUCUGACGGUAACGAAAGAAUAAGCACCGGCUAACUACGUG